rnacentral:rRNA from 1 species
CCAGGUCAGGACACGGUAAGGAUUGACGGACUGAAGGCUCUUUCUCGAUUCCGUGGAAAGUGGUGCAUGGCCGUUUUUGGUUGGUGGAUCGAUCCGUCUGGUUAAUUCCGUUAACGAACGAGACCUCGGCACUCCGAAUAGCGCGGCGGACGUCGCGGCCUCCGGGCCGUCUUCCGCACGAGCUUCUUAGAGGGACCGUCCCCCGCCGGGGAAGGAGGUGCGAGGCAACGACAGGUCUGUGAUGCCCUUAGAUGUUCUGGGCCGCACGCGCAUUACACUGACGCGUCCAACGGGUGACUCCCGACCCGAAGGGGCCGGGGAAUCCGCAAGGCGCGUCGUGAUGGGGAUUGAACGUUGCAAUUGUUGUUCACGAACGAGGAAUUCCUAGUAGGCGCGGGUCAUCAACCCGCGCCGAUUACGUCCCUGCCCUUUGUACACACCGCC